UACGGAGGGGGCUAGCGUUGUUCGGAAUUACUGGGCGUAAAGCGCACGUAGGCGGACCUGCAAGUCAGAGGUGAAAUCCCGGAGCUCAACUCCGGAACUGCCUUUGAAACUGCUGGUCUGGAGAUCGAGAGAGGUGAGUGGAAUUCCGAGUGUAGAGGUGAAAUUCGUAGAUAUUCGGAGGAACACCAGUGGCGAAGGCGGCUCACUGGCUCGAUACUGACGCUGAGGUGCGAAAGCGUGGGGAGCAAACAGG
rnacentral:rRNA from 1 species